rnacentral:siRNA from 1 species
UAGGGCGUGCCACGGUGAUGUU